rnacentral:rRNA from 1 species
UGGUGGGUUGCCUUGUCAGGUUGAUUCCGGUAACGAACGAGACCUCAGCCUGCUAAAUAGUUACUGCUACUUUGGUAGCUGGCGAACUUCUUAGAGGGACUAUUGGCGUUUAGCCAAUGGAAGUGUGAGGCAAUAACA